UGAACAGCAUGGAUUUUCAUGAUUUAUCUUACGAUGGAGAAUAGAGAACACGUCAAUUCAUCAGAUAUGACGGGUCUUUUCUUUGGCAUUAGAUGUGACACGUGUAGUGCGCUGGUACCAUGUAGGCUUCAGAACUUUCAUCUAUGAAGACCCACUUGCUAAUGGCCACCAUGCACAGAAAAGACCAUGAUGUGGAGGACAUAUGUGCUUAGUUAUUAAAGUCAGGACAGAAUACAUUUAGAAACUGAUCAUGCCUUGGUCAAAUCAAAGGAGUUCCCUCAGUCUUUCAGAGAGAUGGCAGAGAGUUCAUUCAACAUGAAGAUGAUGUGCACAUAA